rnacentral:rRNA from 1 species
GAUGAACGCUGACAGAAUGCUUAACACAUGCAAGUCGAUGGGGAAGUGGUGCUUGCACCAUGGCAACCAUGGCGGACGGGUGAGUAACGCGUAAGGGACUUACCUGCAGGACUGGGAUAACAGGGGGAAACUCCUGACAAGACCGGAUAAUGUCAUGGAGCUGCAUGGCUUUAUGAUGAAAGGAGACGCCUGCGGAGAGCCUUGCGUCCUAUUAGCUAGUUGGUGAGGUAAUGGCUCACCAAGGCGAAGAUAGGUAGCCGGCCUGAGAGGGUGGACGGCCACAAGGGGACUGAGAUACGGCCCUUACUCCUACGGGAGGAAGCAGUGGGGAAUAUUGGACAAUGGGGGCAACCCUGAUCCAGCAAUUCUGUGUGCACGAAGAAGGUUUUCGGAGUGUAAAGUGCUUUCAGCAGGGAAGAAGUAAGUGACGGUACCUGCAGAAGAAGCGACGGCUAAAUACGUG